GAGAAUGCCGGUAUGAGUAGCGAAAGACAGGUGAGAAUCCUGUCCACCGUAAGACUAAGGUUUCCAGGGGAAGGCUCGUCCGCCCUGGGUUAGUCGGGACCUAAGGAGAGACCGAAAGGUGUAUCCGAUGGACAACAGGUUGAUAUUCCUGUACUAGAGUAUGUAGUGAUGGAGGGACGCAGUAGGCUAACUAAAGCAGACGAUUGGAAGUGUCUGUCUAAGCAGUGAGGUGUGAAUUGAGUUAAAUGCUUAAUUCUAUAACAUUGAGCUGUGAUGGGGAGCGAAGUUUAGUAGCGAAGUUAGUGACGUCACACUGCCAAGAAAAGCUUCUAGCGUUUAAACAUACUCUACCCGUACCGCAAACCGACACAGGUAGUCGAGGCGAGUAGCCUCAGGUGAGCGAGAGAACUCUCGUUAAGGAACUCGGCAAAAUGACCCCGUAACUUCGGGAGAAGGGGUGCUGACUUUUAGUCAGCCGCAGUGAAUAGGCCCAAGCAACUGUUUAUCAAAAACACAGCUCUCUGCUAAAUCGUAAGAUGAUGUAUAGGGGGUGACGCCUGCCCGGUGCUGGAAGGUUAAGAGGAGUGCUUAGCGUAAGCGAAGGUAUGAAUUGAAGCCCCAGUAAACGGCGGCCGUAACUAUAACGGUCCUAAGGUAGCGAAAUUCCUUGUCGGGUAAGUUCC
rnacentral:rRNA from 1 species